CGAGUGAUUGUAGAGGAUGUUCGGUACGCCUGGUCUAAUUCUUGGAACAGAAUGCAGAGAGGGUGAGAUCCCGUCUGGACCGGCGGUAGGGCCAUGUGAAACUCCUUCGACGAGUCGAGUUGUUUGGGAAUGCAGCUCAAAAUGGGUGGUAUAUUUCAUCUAAAGCUAAAUAUUGGCCAGAGACCGAUAGCGCACAAGUAGAGUGAUCGAAAGAUGAAAAGAACUUUGAAAAGAGAGUUAAACAGUAUGUGAAAUUGUUGAAAGGGAAGCGCUUGCAACCAGACUUGAGCGCGGCGGUUCCCCCUUCCUUUUGGUUGGGUUACUCCGUCGUGUCCAGGCCAACAUCGGUUCUGGGGGUCGGAUAAAGGCUUGGGGAAUGUACCUACGUCUUCGGGCGUAGACUUAUAGCCCCGAGUGUCAUGCGACCUCCCGGGACCGAGGAACGCGCUUCGGCUCGGAU
rnacentral:rRNA from 1 species